rnacentral:ncRNA from 1 species
AUGCCUGAGUAGGGUGAAGUCAGGCGAAAGCCUGAUGGAGGCUCGUAGCGAUACUGACGUGCAAAUCGUUCGUCAAACUUGCCCAU